UGAAGGAAAAGUACUAAAGAAAGAGCAAUUUGCAUAGUGCUUUAUAAGUAAGUGUGCUACCCACUGUUAACUGGUUAUGUUUGAGUUCUCAAAAGCAAGGAUAUGCUUUGAAGGCAGAAAAUGGUGGUCUGAGGUUUACAGAUGCUCUAUUAACAAACUCCAUGCAGGUUUAAAAGAUUGGUUAACUGGCUUCCUUGGAUGCAUUUUUUCUGUUCUGUUUUGUAUUCAUUGCAAGCGAAUUCCUAUAGUUUAUGGUACCAUAUUUCUUUAUGCAGGUUGACACUGUUCUUUAAUAUUCAUGCUUUGUCUUUCACAGCUGUCUCUUUCGGUAGAUCUUGAGGUUCUAGGUUGUUGUUGUUUUUCUUUUUUCCCAAAAAAAAGAGAUCAGAGUGAACGAACCUGAAAAUUGCCCACCUCUAAUACAGGGAAGGGGAGGAAAAGCAACAGGUUCUUCUGUAUUUGUGGGCAGGGGAAGGUAAGAGGAAUAUAGGAGCAGCAAAUAAAAAGUGGUGGAAAAACACUUUAUGAUUCCUCUUCAUCAUCUUAACUGGUAUGACCUAACCUACAGCUAUCCUGGAUUUUGCGCUACUUGCACACCAUACUAGUCCACGAGAGGCUGCCCAAGAACUUGACCUGCUCUUUGGAGUAUGCAUGGAACUGAUGCAACGCUGGAAAACAGAGGUACAUUACAGAGGCAAGGGUGGAAGAUAUUGGCCGUUAGAUGGGCCACUGAACGUAAACUCAGGGAUUCCCUUCCUGGUUAAGGCUGUUGCUUUACCUAGCCCUCUCUCCCCUGAUGUUUACAGGAAACCCCCAGCAGGAUGUGUGGCAGCUAUAGCACUCUUCUACUUGGGUUUCCUAAAGACUGUUACCCUGAUCCUGGAAGUGAUGCUAACAUGCAUUUGUGUUCCCCUCCAACCUGAACAGAACGUGAUGGUGCUGGGAGACCUGAACGCUGCUGGUGCCUACAUCCCGGGAGAUGCUUGGGCUGGGAUCCGCCUUCGCAAUCACUUUGCCUUCCAUUGGCUCAUUGGUGACACAGUGGACACCACAGUCAGCCACCGGACACGCUAUGCCUAUGAUAGGCACUAGAGAUUAGCGACCACUAUCCUGUGGAGGUGAAUCUGCGACUUGCUCCUAGGGUCCAACGAGAGCUCUAAGUCUUCAAUCAUCCUUUAAUUACUAGUGACUCUAAGGAUGAAGCUGGAAAGAGAACAAUUUCCUAGGUACUACCUCUGAUGAAGAACUAGGCAAGAUAGAACUUUGUUAAUAAUUGUAAUAAAUCAGUGCUAACCACUGCA
rnacentral:lncRNA from 1 species